UUGGAGGGCAAGUCUGGUGCCAGCAGCCGCGGUAAUUCCAGCUCCAAUAGCGUAUAUUAAAGUUGUUGCAGUUAAAAAGCUCGUAGUUGAAUUUCGGAAUCUGUCCGUCGGUCGGGCUUCACUGUCCGUACUGGUGUGAUGGGUUUCUACCUUCUGAAUAAUCGGCAUGUCAUUAAUUUGGUGCGCCGGGGAAGCAGAACUAUUACCUUGAAAAAAUUAGAGUGCUUAAAGCAGGCUAUCGCCUGAAUAGAUUAGCAUGGAAUAAUAAAAUAGGACGGCAUGGUUCUAUUUUGUUGGUUUCUAGGAUCACCGUAAUGAUUAAUAGGGAUAGUUGGGGGCAUUAGUAUUCAAUUGUCAGAGGUGAAAUUCUUGGAUUUAUUGAAGACUAACUUCUGCGAAAGCAUUUGCCAAGGAUGUUUUCAUUAAUCAAGAAAGAAAGUUAGGGGAUCGAAGACGAUCAGAUACCGUCGUAGUCUUAACCAUAAACUAUGCCGACUAGGGAUCGGACGAUGUUAAUUUUUUAAUGACUCGUUCGGCGCCUUACGGGAAAC
rnacentral:rRNA from 1 species